rnacentral:rRNA from 1 species
UACGUAGGGUGCGAGCGUUGUCCGGAAUUAUUGGGCGUAAAGAGCUUGUAGGCGGUUUGUCGCGUCUGCUGUGAAAAUCCGGGGCUCAACCCCGGACUUGCAGUGGGUACGGGCAGACUAGAGUGUGGUAGGGGAGACUGGAAUUCCUGGUGUAGCGGUGAAAUGCGCAGAUAUCAGGAGGAACACCGAUGGCGAAGGCAGGUCUCUGGGCCACUACUGACGCUGAGAAGCGAAAGCAUGGGGAGCAACAGG